rnacentral:rRNA from 1 species
CCCUUAGAUGUCCUGGGCCGCACGCGCGCUACACUGAUGCAUGCAACGAGUUUAUAACCUUGGCCUGAAAGGUCUGGGUAAUCUUUUGAACGAGCAUCGUGAUAGGGAUAGAUUACUGCAAUUGUUAAUCUUGAACGAGGAAUUCCUAGUAAACGCGAGUCAUCAGCUCGCAUUGAUUACGUCCCUGCCCUUUGUACACACCGCCCGUCGCACCUACCGAUUGAAUGGUUCGGUGAAGAUCUCGGACUUCGAUAUUUAUUCUUUAUUGAGUUUAUAUUGUGGGAAGUUAUCUAAACCUCAUCAUUUAGAGGAAGGUGAAGUCGUAACA